UUUCCUUCUCAAGAAUCAACUAUCAAGACAAAAGUCCCGACUUCAAUUCUCUUCUUCAAUCUCCAAUUUUCUUUGUUUUCAUUUCAAACGUUGAAGCACUAGUUGUUCUUGCAAAAGUUGAAACACACGGCUUAGCUAGGCUCUAAAAUUUCAAGCUAUUACCAAUUUACCAGAUAAUGAAGAUGAAGGGAAAGAUGUUGAUUUAGAAGCAUUUCAGCGUAGAAACUUUUUAAUGAUGAUGAAGAUGAUGAUUGGCAUUAAAGAUUCAAAUGUAGUUCAUAUUAUGCUCUUGGAUGAUGAUGAAGACUUGUCAAGAUGGCUUUUUUUUCUUAAAAAACUCUGUUGUCCAAGAAUGAUGAAAAGGAUGAUAAGAGCCUCAUAAAUUAGACUUGCUUGGAUUUUUUGAC